CAGCAGCCGCGGGAAUACGAAGGGGGCUAGCGUUGCUCGGAAUGACUGGGCGUAAAGGGCGCGUAGGCGGAUUGUUUAGUUAGGCGUGAAAUUCCUGGGCUUAACCUGGGGACUGCGCUUAAUACAGGCAGUCUAGAGUGAGGAAGAGGGUUGUGGAAUUCCCAGUGUAGAGGUGAAAUUCGUAGAUAUUGGGAAGAACACCGGUGGCGAAGGCGGCAACCUGGUCCUUGACUGACGCUGAGGCGCGAAAGCGUGGGGAGCAAACAGGAUUAGAGACCCCUGUAGUCCCUGUCUCUUAUAC
rnacentral:rRNA from 1 species